rnacentral:lncRNA from 1 species
AUGGUGCAUCCAGACGAAGGACCGAAUCCGGAUUUUUAGCGGACGCGGACGACUAUGCCACGGACCGUCCGGAAGCAAGCGCAUCCACACGGCGGACAAGGCCCUAGCGGACGACAGCGCCACAGAGCCGGAUUACUCUCGACCGCAGCCUCUGCGCUGCCUAGCAGCAGUCUGGUCUGAGAGUUUCUUCCGCGAAUUGUGAGAGUGUUCGACAAAAUGGAGGCCGGCAGAAAGCGACGUUUGGCCGCGAUGGCUGUUGUUGUCAGAGAUUGACGAGGACUUUGAUUUGCUUCCACGAAAACGGCAUUGUUGGCGGAAAGACUGGGUGGGAAGGAAAAAAUUGGGGAUCCAGAACCUGCUCUACGAAGAGCUCCUGAAGACUGACCUCGACGAAUACCGGAGGCUACUUCGUGUAAGCAGAGAGCAGUUUCUGCAACUGCUGUCACGCGUGGGGCCCCGCAUACGAAGGGAGGAUACCGUUAUGCUCCGUUCUAUAUCGGCGGAAACACGGCUGCAGGUGACACUGCGGUACCUUGCUUCAGGAGAGAGUCACUAUUCCCUGAGCCGACAGUUUAGGCUCGGUCAUUCAAGUGUGAAUGACAUUAUACAUGAAACAUGUAUUGCCAUUUACGAGGAACUGGGAAGCAACUUUAUAAGAACACCCCGCACGGAGGAGGAAUGGAAAUAUGUGAAAUAAAAGGCGGCGUCAUCGCACAA